rnacentral:lncRNA from 1 species
GUGCACGAGGACCCACACCUCAGUCACUGGGCCAGCUCCACACCAGGACAGAAGAGGUCAGGUCCAGUACUGUCUUUUCUGGAAAGAGGGCCUUCCAGGCCAGGCCUGGGGAGAGUCCAGGGUGCUUGCUGCUUGUCUUCCAGGCCCUGCUGAUGCAGUUCUCAGGACUGGUCAUGGGUCCUGAAAGGCUUGGAUCUUGGCAUUGUGAGAAGACCUGCCCUCACCCUAGCUACCUCAAAGUGCAUUGUGUAAAUUCAGUGAUAUUUAUUUACAGGAAGUCUCCGUUCAAAGAGGUUUCCCAAAGACAGACCUGAGACGCAUUUAGUAGAUAAUGAACCCUAGCUACACAUGAGGGUCUUCUUCCCCUGGGCUAGUCUCUGUUCCCUUGGGUAUGCUGUAGUCGCUCCGUUGCCC